rnacentral:rRNA from 1 species
AGAAUCAACGCUGGCGGCGUGCCUAACACAUGCAAGUCGAACGAGAAAGCGGAGCAAUCCGCAAGUAAAGUGGCGCACGGGUGAGUAACACGUGACUAACCUACCCUGGAGUGGGGGAUAACUGAGAGAAAUCUUAGCUAAUACCGCAUAACACCUACGGGUCAAAGGAGCAAUUCGCUUCAGGAGGGGGUCGCGGCAGAUUAGAUAGUUGGCGGGGUAAUGGCCCACCAAGUCAGUGAUCUGUA